AUUUACUUUUGGAAUUGAUCAAUAAUUGUGGCUUGUUUUCUCAUUCAUUAAUUUCUGCUUCAAUCUUUCCUUAAUUCUUUUCUCAGAGUUUAAUUUUUAAAGAAGUAUUACUUCAUUUAUUUUUAUUAUUUCACAUUCAUUGUUCUGCUAAUCAAUGUUCCUAAACUUGGUCUGGUUUCAAAUGACUGUGGGGUAUUUCUAAAAAUUAAAUACACUCUCAAAAGAGAAAGAUUUGCUAUUCCUGAUGAUGUCCUUUAAAAGAAUGUGAUUCAGUGUCUUAUAGAACUCUAAGAAUUCUAAAAAUGUUUAGUGACAAGUGCAGUAAGCUUAUGACCUAUUCUGAGAGGGCCAAGAUCUAUAAAACCUAUACAUUUGCUAGAAUGUUAUCUGCCUUCAUGUACUUGAAAAGAAUCAAGGGCUAGGAGUUAAAGGAAAGUCUCACAUUUGCCUAAUGGGAUGCCCUCUAAUAUCACGUCUAUAAGUCAAGAUAUUUCAAAAUGCUUUUUCUUUAUGUGAAAAUGCACUUAAAUACAUUUUGAACACAGCCUGGCUUCAUGAUUGCUUGUGAUUGAAAUUAACCCUAGACAAAACAUUGUUCAAAGGCAAAGAUGAAAAAAUGCUCAUUUGAUAGGAUGACAAAGUUUUCCCUGCAAAAAUCAAUGAUGCAGAUAAGAGAGAACAUGUUUUUAAAAAUAAUUUUUACAUGCUAUGAAACACCGGAUUAUACACAAUAAAAAUGUCUUUAGUAAAAAAAAAAAAUUGCUGAUAGUAAGGUAGAUUUGCAGGUGUGACCUUUGCCAACAUAUGUAGAUUAUCAUCAGAUCCACAUGUUUGUAGAAUUAUGUAACAGUGUUUAAGUGGCCAGGAAAGGGAGGAUUUUGUGGUCAAGAAAGUGGAAAUGUCCUAUUUAACAUAUGACCCUGGCCAGUCUCAUCUCAAAUUACUGUUGCUCAAGUUACAGAUGGUUAGCAAGCCAAGUGGGAGGGAAGAGAAAGGGCUGACAAACCUACAGUUAACAUGAGGCCACAAAGCCAGUGGCUGUUAUCAUUAAAAAUACAAACUUACUCAAGUCUUCCAUAUUUAAAGUAGCAAAGAAAAAAACUGUCUUGCACUGCAUUCUGGACCAGAAGACGUUGCUAUAAAUGGGUUUAACAUAUCCUUCCCUAAUAAUUAGGUUUUAGGAAAGAUAGAACAUAGUUUUAUGAAUGAACUGAAAAAACAUAUAAUUAGACCACCUUUCCCAGCUGACAGCUUUAUGAUCAUGAUUGAAAAGCAGUUUUUUCCUUUUGCACUUAUUUGCAUCUCAGGUUUUUUAAGCUUCCAAAUGUUUAAAACAUACAAGUGCCUGUGCUCUAGGAAUUUACUCUUGAGAGAAAACACCAUUAAGUGGAAAAAAAAUUUUAUCUCUACUAACACAAAAGCAAGUAUACAUAAAUUUAUGUAUUUAGUAUUGGUUUCAACCGAUUACCUUGUAAAGCAGUUCAGGGCUAACAGAGUACGUCAGAGUCAAAAAUAAUCCUAAUGUUGUUUGCUAUUAUGGCUGUGAAAAUUUUAGUCAAGUACAGACUGAAAGCCCAAAGGAUGCUAAAGGAUUAUCUAGAAAGCAGAGCCUCAAGCCAAGUUUAAGUGCUAAGAUUUUAUUAGGAGGUACGACCCCUGGGCUGCAAGGGUGAGGCGAAAGGCAAUGAAAAGCAAUGCUUCGCUAAUCUGAAAACAACUUGAGGAGAAAGUACAGCUUCCAGACAGCCACACUGGGACCUGCUGCCUAUGGAGAAAACAGGAGAGGUACUUAUUUCUUGCUCUCUGCCCUCUGUUGUAAGUUUGUCUCACAGGGCUCCAACGCCGCACUUUUCUGGGUAUGUCCCUGACCCUCCAGGCUAUUGGCAGAGACAAGAAUAGGCUGAACCUCUGUUUUUCACCCGAGUCUGGGACUGGUGGGAGGAGCCAGGGCCCCUCUGCACUAAGCUAGAGGCUAAGAUGAGAGACGGGGUGCAACUGAGCAGACCGGGGAGGUGCACAAGCUGGGUCUGGCACAGCGCAUCCUUCUAGGACCUGAGCUAUUUAUUCCUAGUGCUGGUGUUCACUGAUUCUUAGGGGAGGAGGAGCCACUCAAUUCAGAGAUCGCACAGAUAGCGCCUCGAUUGUGUAAAUGUAAUUAUCUUCCAUCAAACUGUCUCAAGUUCCUCACUACGCUUACCCAUUGCUUUAACUCUUCCCCUCCCGAGAGUUUUUGAGGUGUAAUUUGAAUCGGAUUCUUUACCGUCUGAGCUACUAGGGAAGCCCAAGAAUACUGGAGUGGGUAGCCUAUCCCUCCUCCAGGACAUCUUCCCGACCCCAAAAUAGAACGGGGGUCUCCUGAAUCGCAGGCGGAUUCUUUACCAGCUGAGCUACCAGGGAAGCCCAAUUUGAAUAUUAAAAAAUCCACCCAUUUGAAGACUACAAAGCCUUAGAUUUUGUCAACUGCACACAUCCUGUAACAUCCAGUCUAUCAAGGCGUGGAAUCAUGCCAUCGCCCCCAAAGUUCCCUCCUGCUCCCCUGCCUCCCAUCCUCUCGCCUCUUUCAUCCCUCCCCAGGCAACGGCUUUCCCCACCAGUUUUGCUUCUUCUAGAAUUUCAGAUAAACGCAAUCGGACAGACUAAGGUCUUUUGGGUUUACCCCCCUACCCCCACCUGUACCAAGCAAUUAUUAUUAUAUUUUUUUUAGAUCCAUCCUUGUUGCUGCCCGUAUUGAUAACUGGGUGCAUUUUUACGCUUCGCUGUUUUGGAGAACUUCCUCUCUGUGCUAAACGUCCGGCACUUUAUCUGCAUUCGCCGUUUGGAACCCUCACAACUACCCUGCUUUACAGCAGAGUAACCCGAGGCUAGGGGCGCCCGGCUGGGGAGCCCGGGGAGGAGGCGCGGGGUAGACACCGGCUAGUCAGAUUAUUACGCUUGCCCCGGUCGGGAGCCCGAUCUGCGGCACCUGCGGCUGGAGAGGGGAACGGUGGGUCUGGCCGUAUACAGCCGCGGACCGGACAAACGCCCCGGGACGGAGGCCUUGCCGGGCCGCCCGCGAGGCCGGAGCCAUGGAGGGUACUCCAUCCUACCGUACCCGGGCCGCCGGCCUCCAGAGCUGCCUGAUCCGGCUACGAGUAGAGGCGGGGCCGCGGUCUGGGGGCGCGCAAGGGCGCGGAGGAGCCGCAUUUCCGCGGACGCGUCACGUUGCUGGGCGCUUCACCACGCGCCGUUUCCCUCCGCGCGGACGGCGCUACUUCCCGAGGGGCCCGAGGACCCCAGUCGUCGGUGAUGGGUGAAUGUAUCUUGCAUGUUGAACCCUGUGACAGAGAACUUGACCCAUGGAGGGCAUACAAAUAAGAUUGCAAGAAGACCUGUCAGAGUUAUGGAAAUGAAAGCAGUUCUGGGACAGAGACUGGUGGAGAGCCCCAGAGCCGACGUAGACCGAGAGGAAGACGAGGAAUACCCGGAGCAGGAAGAGGCUGGCUGCCGCGGCGGCCACAGCGAAGAGCUCCAUUUGCAGCGUAGCCUCCAGCAGCCGGGACUCCGGGGCAUCUGCGAGGCGCUGCGUUGCCAUGGGAACGCGGCGGCGCCCGGGCGGAACCUAGCGUUUAUUACCUGAGAAUGGGGCGCGGGGACGCCGCGGCCCCUCCCCCCGAUCCCGCACCCCGGCGGGUCGACGCGCAUUCUCCCGGUCCCCGUCAGCUUUGCCGGGAAAGCUGAAAUCAGACGCUGCGCGAAGGACUCUUUGCAAAAGCUUCAGCCUGCUGGCCGAGCCGGACGCCCCGGCUGGAGGCCCCUGCGGGAUCGGCCCGCGCAGCCCUUGCUUUGUCGCCACUUCGGCUCGUCGCCCAGGCCCGGGGUGCGACGCGGGGCGCAGAGAGCCCCAUUCGCUUCGCCGACGCCCUAGGACCACGCCAGGAGUAGGAACGCAGCGCGACGUCCCGCAGAUGCAGACAGAACCCCGACGUGGGCAUUUUUGCAGAACCAUCCCAAAGCCAAGAGGCGUUGACUACUACUACUCGCCCCUCAGGCUCUCUAAGAGGAGGGAGGGAGCAUAAAAGACAUUUACCCCGAGUCCUAGUUAUUGGAACAUGUUUCUAACACCCUGGCUGUCCUAGUGGCUAGAAGCUUAUUGCAGGAAGGUAUUGUUUGCGUAAUUAAUUAAUAGAAACAAUAACUGGGCUCCUGAAACCCGCGCUGCCGGGUGCCGGGCGGAGGGCUGGACGGGAGGUGCUGGCCUGGCCGCUUCGGGAAGUACCGGCAGCGGUACCCGCGGGGCGCAUCCAUACCCAGGCUCACUCAACUUCCACGGUUUACUUAAUUAGGAGAAACGCAGAAAGCGGACGAGCUCUAUUUUACACACCGCACUUUCUCCUGUUGGGUCACUGGCGGAGCCCCUGUCUGCGGAGACAUCCGGGCUCCAUGCCUGGGGUUGAAAAAUCCGCCUCCAGGGAGCGAAGGUCUUGUCGCUCCAGGGUAUAAAUAUUAAUAAGCUGAGAGGCCGGGGCAUAAUUAUCUCUUUUUAAUUGCAACUCAACCAAAAAAUCCAGUCUCCUGCCACUCAGGCCCCACGAAGUCGGGAAUGCUAGGUUUUGGUGUCAGGAGACUCCCUCGGUGCAAAGUCGUUCUUUGUAUCCUCCGCCCAACAUAUAAACCAUAUGCUGCGCCUCUCGGCGUGUUAAAAGCACCCAUGCAGAGAUUUGAGCUGAAGGCCCUUCGCUCGCCUCAUCCCCGGCCGCCUAGUGCGCCCUAUUUGUCCCCCAGCUACCAGGGGACUUGGCCUCUAUCCCCCCUCACCCUACCCCCGACCUCCUGCUACUUAAGCAAUAGUGUGAAGAAUUGAAAGAACUGGGGGCAGCUGCUCCAGGUUUGACCCGAAGGCACCUGUGGCGGCCUCGGCCCAGGUCCUGGGCGAGACCUGCGAGCUGCGGAAGGGCUCGGCUCCGCGGCGCCCGGGAGAGCAGUCCCAGCGUCCCGGGCGCUCCCGAUCGUAGUCCCGGCCAUCCGGUGCCCCGCCAGCCCGCUGCGCUCCUCCCUGUAUCCCUAAGAAGCCGCACGCGCGGUGAAGCGGUGCAGGCCUGCUGAGGAGCCGCUGCUCUGUGGCUCAGCUAGCGCUCCCCAGGGUUGGAGGUUGGGGUGAAUGCGUGGACUGGUACAUGUUCC
ensembl:lncRNA